rnacentral:lncRNA from 1 species
GCCAGCUAUAGCAGGCAAAUAGAAAAUGAGUCAAAAUAUCUUAAGAUAUGGACUACAAAUAAUUUGGAUUUUAUAUAAUUAGUAUUUGGUAGUAUCUGAUAUGUGAUCUUCUUGAAAAAUUUUGCAAUUGAAUAGUAGAUCAACAUCAGCCUGUCAUCCCGAAACCUAAGACAACUAAUAAUCCAAACCCUCUCACAGGC